rnacentral:lncRNA from 10 species
UGGACAUCUGUGGUCCCAGCUACUCAGGAGGCUAAGGCAAGAGGAUCUCGAGUCCAGGAGGUGGAGGUUGCAGUGAGCCAAGAUAGUGUCAUUGCACUCUAGCCUGGGCGACAGAGUGAGACUGUCUCAAAAAAAAAAAAAAAAUAAAAUAAAAAAAAGAGUGAAGAGACCUACCAACCAAACACACCACAUAGGAUUCUGAGUCAGACAGACCAUAAAAUAGUAUAUAUGUGUGUGUGUGUGUGUGUGUGUGUGCGUGCAUGUAUAUAUUCUAUAUGUGUAUAGCAUUUUUUUUUUUUACAUUUCUGGGAAGUUCUCAAAAUGUGUGUAUGCAUUUUUGAGUCCUCAUCUCUUACAGAUACAUCCUGAAAUACUUUUAGAUUAAAUGAUAUAAUGUCUGGGAUUUCCUGCAAAAUAAAAUGGGAGAAAAGAAAUGGUUGGGAGUAUUGAGCAAACAAGACUGGCUAUGAGAUGAUCAACUGCUGAAGCUGCAUGAUGGCUAAGUGGGGGGUUUCUCACUACUAUUUCUGUACAUAGCUAAAUUUUUCCAUAAUUAUUGGUUUUUAAAAAGGAGAACUAAACAAAUGGGAGCAUGUGGAAAACACUGGAUGAAUGAGCCUUAAAAUGUUCAUUAUGUACAUACAGUGUAGACCCACAAACUGUCCGAUUUGGAGUUAGGAAACUGGAAUUCAGUGGUUCCCUGGGCCAGGCAGCUCUGCAGGGACUGAUCUGAAGUCCCUCCCAACUGAGCCCCAGGCUGUCUGAUGCAGUUGCUCCUUCCUGGUUCAAACAACGGGCACCAACAUAAGUUCUUGCCCUAUUCUACACCCAUUACUGAAAACUGAACAGGAAAUAAAUCAGAAAGCAAUUUUUAAAAGAUAAAAAGAAAAGGAGACAAACACAUGGGAAGUAUAACAAUAAAAAAGAACUGAAAGACAACAGCAGUCAAGACCAAUCAAUCCAAUUCCUAAUUAAAUACAUAUAAUUUUCAGUCCCUCAUUCUGUAAUCUAAAUGAGCAGUUUAAUUAGUACCUGAAUCUGCCUUGUAUAAGUGCACUUAACUUUCAUACUUUAAAGACAUAUAUAUAUAAACAUUUAAAUAAAUGCAUAGGAAAUUUUACCAUUCAAAGGUAUCUCAUUGGAAAUCCUUUUAUAACAAAAAUAGUCACCUCCUACAUUCAGUCAUGUAGGAAGGGAAAAUGACAGUACUAAUUUUAAAAUAUUAAUAGUGAUGUAGCCAUUAAUAUUUUUUGAACAGUUGGCAUGUAGUUAUACAUUGCUCUAAAGAGCUUCAUUAUGUAUAUAUGGAUAUAAAUUUCAUCUUCAGGACAAUUCUAUGAGCUAGAUAUAAUAAUUAUUCCCAUUUCAUAAACAUGGAAACUGAUUGAUUAAAAGUAUAAUAAGCAUUUUUAAAUGAUCAAUUAUACAAAUGGCAGUUCAUCUUAUAUACUAAGUACUGGGUCAUUUUUUAAAAUGUGCUUUAUAGAGGAAUUUUAAACAAAGCCAAAUGCACACUCAUGUAACAAACAGUCAAAUAGUCAAAUGAGUUGCCUAAAAGUCACCAAAUUGGUUGUACAGAGGUUCCUACAUACACUAUACUUAUUAUUGUAUUUUAUACACCCUCUAAUCCCAGUGGUUCUUCAUUAUCUAAAAAGAAAUAUAAGUCACAGAUCAAAGUCAGAAGUUUGUUUUAACAGAAAUGUUUCCCAUUGCCCAGGAAAUGGCUGAAGAUAACUGAACAUACACAGACUCAAGAUGAACAAAAAGCCAAAGGAAAGCAUUACCUACCAUCAACUCCUUAAGGGCAGGAUCCCAGAUCCUGAAACCAAUGGACCAGAAUCCUGCCCCACUUCAAGAAUGAGUUGGCUCCUUGUUACCACGGUAAUAAGCGCCCCAUGAAUGGGGAUAAUUUGCCACUUUGCUGAAAAUUCAAGCAUUCUAUAGUUUUGGUUUUUUAACUGAGAAACGAGGUGGGAGGAGCAGCAGAACCAAUUAUAGAGUACAUUUAAACAACACGUAAAGGAGUGUGUUUCUUGAUUCUGAAUAACAAGAUUUUAAAUCGUUUAGUUUACAGCCAGGCAUGGUGGCUCACGCCUGUAAUCCCAGCACUCUGGGA